rnacentral:rRNA from 1 species
ACUCCUACGGGAGGCAGCAGUGGGGAAUUUUGCGCAAUGGGGGAAACCCUGACGCAGCAACGCCGCGUGAGUGAUGAAGGCCCUUGGGUCGUAAAGCUCUGACAGAGGGAAAGAAAUGUGGGUGGCUAAUAUCCAUACCACUUGACGGUACCCUCAAAGGAAGCACCGGCUAACUCCGUGCCAGCAGCCGCGGUAAUACGGAGGGUGCGAGCGUUGUUCGGAUUUAUUGGGCGUAAAGCGCGUGUAGGCGGUUUUAUAAGUCUGAUGUGAAAGCCCCGGGCUCAACCUGGGAAGUGCAUUGGAUACUGUAAGACUUGAAUACGGGAGAGGGCAGUGGAAUUCCUGGUGUAGGAGUGAAAUCCGUAGAUAUCAGGAGGAACACCGGUGGCGAAGGCGGCUGCCUGGACCGAUAUUGACGCUGAGACGCGAAAGCGUGGGUAGCAAACAGGAUUAGAUACCCUGGUAGUCCACGCUGUAAACGAUGAGAACUAGGUGUUGCGGGUA